rnacentral:rRNA from 1 species
GACGAACGCUGGCGGCGUGCUUAACACAUGCAAGUCGAACGGAAAGGCCCUGCUUUUGUGGGGUGCUCGAGGGGCGAACGGGUGAGUAACACGUAAAUAACCUGCCCUUGACUUUGGGAUAACUUCAGGAAACUGGGGCUAAUCCCGGAUAGCAUCCCCCGCUGCAUGGUGGGGGUUGGAAAUUUUCGGCGGGUGGGGAUGGACGCGCGGCUUAUGACUUUGCUGGUGGGGGAGUGGAUUACCCAGUCAUUGGCGGAUAGCCGGCCUGUGAGGGUGACCGGCCACAUUGGGACUGAGAUACGGCCCAGACUCCUACGGGAGGCAGCAGUGGGGAAUAUUGCACAAUGGGCGGAAGCCUGAUGCAGCAACGCCGCGGGCGGGAUGACGGCCUUCGGGUUGUAAACCGCUGUCGCCUGUGACGAAGCGGUAGUGACGGUAAUGGGUAAAGAAGCACCGGCUAACUACGUG